AUUGAACGCUGGCGGCAUGCCUUACACAUGCAAGUCGAACGGUAACAGGUCUUCGGAUGCUGACGAGUGGCGAACGGGUGAGUAAUACAUCGGAACGUGCCUAGUAGUGGGGGAUAACUACUCGAAAGAGUGGCUAAUACCGCAUGAGAUCUACGGAUGAAAGCAGGGGAUCGCAAGACCUUGUGCUACUAGAGCGGCCGAUGGCAGAUUAGGUAGUUGGUGGGAUAAAAGCUUACUAAGCCGACGAUCUGUAGCUGGUCUGAGAGGACGAUCAGCCACACUGGGACUGAGACACGGCCCAGAGUCCUACGGGAGGCAGCAGUGGGGAAUUUUGGACAAUGGGCGCAAGCCUGAUCCAGCAAUGCCGCGUGCAGGAUGAAGGCCUUCGGGUUGUAAAUUGCUUUUGCACGGAACGAAAAGCCCUGGGUUAAUACCCUGGGGUCAUGACGGUACCGUAAGAAUAAGCACCGGCUAACUACGUGCCAGCCGCCGCGGUAAGAC
rnacentral:rRNA from 1 species